rnacentral:piRNA from 4 species
AGUUUAAUAUCUGAUACGUCCUCUAU